GACGAACGCUGGCGGCGUGCCUAAUACAUGCAAGUCGAGCGGAUGAAGGAGGAGCUUGCUCCUCCAGAUUCAGCGGCGGACGGGUGAGUAACACGUGGGCAACCUGCCCUGUAGAUUGGGAUAACUCCGGGAAACCGGGGCUAAUACCGAAUAAUCCACCAGACCACAUGGUCCGGUGUUGAAAGGCGGCCUCGGCUGUCACUACAGGAUGGGCCCGCGGCGCAUUAGCUAGUUGGUGGGGUAACGGCCCACCAAGGCGACGAUGCGUAGCCGACCUGAGAGGGUGAUCGGCCACACUGGGACUGAGACACGGCCCAGACUCCUACGGGAGGCAGCAGUAGGGAAUCUUCCACAAUGGACGAAAGUCUGAUGGAGCAACGCCGCGUGAGUGAAGAAAGGUUCUCGGAUCGUAAAAACUCUGUUGUGAGGGAAGAAACAAGUAACCGGAGUAAACUGCCCGGUAACC
rnacentral:rRNA from 1 species